rnacentral:rRNA from 1 species
UACGAAGGGGGCAAGCGUUGUUCGGAAUUACUGGGCGUAAAGGGCGCGUAGGCGGUGCUCUAAGUCAGGCGUGAAAGCCCUGGGCUCAACCCGGGAAUUGCGCUUGAUACUGGGGCGCUUGAAUCCAGGAGAGGUUGGUGGAAUUCCCAGUGUAGAGGUGAAAUUCGUAGAUAUUGGGAAGAACACCGGUGGCGAAGGCGGCCAACUGGACCACAACUGACGCUGAGGCGCGAAAGCGUGGGGAGCAAACAGG